rnacentral:tRNA from 1 species
GGUGGAGUGGCCGAGCGGCGAGGCAGCGGCUUGCAGGGCCGCGUACAUAGGUUCGAUUCCUGUCUCCACCUCCU